rnacentral:rRNA from 1 species
CCUACGGGCGGCAGCAGUAGGGAAUCUUCCACAAUGGGCGAAAGCCUGAUGGAGCAACGCCGCGUGGGUGAUGAAGGUCUUCGGAUCGUAAAACCCUGUUGUUAGAGAAGAAAGUGCGUGAGCGUAACUGUUCACGUUUCGACGGUAUCUAACCAGAUAGCCUAGGCUAACUACGUGCCAGCAGCCGCGGUAAUACGUAGGUGCCAAGCGUUAUCCGGAUUUAUUGGGCGUAAAGGGAACGCAGGCGGGCGUUUAAGUCUGAUGUUAAAGCCUUCGGCUUAACCGGAGUAGUGCAUUGGAAACUGGGAGACUUGAGUGCAGAAGAGGAGAGUGGAACUCCAUGUGUAGCGGUGAAAUGCGUAGAUAUAUGGAAGAACACCAGUGGCGAAAGCGGCGCUCUGGGCUGUAACUGACGCUGAGGUUCGAAAGCGUGGGUAGCAAACAGGAUUAGAUACCCUUGUAGUC